UUAUGAUCAUAUCACAGGUGGUGUCAUGAUAUUGGACAUGAGCAUGCUGCUAACAAACCUCUUUUAAGAACUGUAUUCCAAGGCAUCAUGCGAUUAUUUAGUCCUCAUAAAACAAUUUACUCUUUAUCAUACGUGACAAGAC